UAGAUCCAAGUUUCUGACCUAUAGCAUAUUGCUUCCCACUUAAAAAUUUCCUUUGACAAGGUGGCCAACUAGAAGGAGCUAGUGUGCAGGGCUCCCACUGAGAGGAACGGAAGGGAUGAGUAAAUACAGCACCUUCAACUGAAACAUCCAGGUACAUGCAUUGGGACUAAUCAAGGAAACAACUUGACCCACGGAGAACGGAGAAAAGCAAGCCCACCCAGGAGCGACACAGAGCCAGGGCAACCUCCCCUGCCCAGGUCUACAACCAGGAGUUUCAACAUGUGGUCUUUGGGCAGGAUGGUUGCUCUGAGUAACAGAAAAUAUAGGAAAGGGAAAGGAGAGAAAGAGAGAGAGGGCCAGGCACAGUGGCUCACACCUGUAAUCCCAGCACGUUGGGAGGCCGAGGCUGGUGGGUCACGAGGAAGAGAUUGAGACCAUCCUGGCCAACAUGAUGAAACCCCGUCUCUACUAAAAAUACAAAAAAACUAGCUGGGCAUGAUGCGCACACCUGUAGUCCCAGCUGCUUGGGAGACUGAGGCAGGAGAAUCACUUGAACCCGGGAGGCAGAGGUUGCAGUGAGCCGAGAUCGCGCCAUUGCACUCCACCUGGCCACAGAGCAAGACUCCGUCUCAAAAAAAAAAAAAAAAAAGAGAGAGAGAGAGAGAAAGCAUUCCCUGCGGUGGGGAAGGUGAAGAGCUCAGGGAGGCCAGAGAAAGACCUACUCAUUGAAGCAACACUGAAUCAAAAGUUCAAAUGGCCACUUGUCAGUUGUGAAGGGAUCUUUUCCAGCAGUCCCAUCAGCUCUCAAGUUUCCCCUUUUGGGAAGGAAAAAGUUCCCCAUGUUCCACGGUCUUGUAUAUGCCUAAUCCUGUCACCCACAGUCGUCAGCAAAGAGUAUAAGACAGAUUAAUCCGAAGAGAAUAGCGGUGGCAUUAAUCCAUAAUGCCAAAUUCAUUUUUAACCAAGAGGGACUUUACUGAGAGGGGCCUUUAACCCUCUAAAUCUUAGGAAGGACUCUAACCUUCCUAAAUUGGGCCUGAGACCCAAGUUUGGUCAAGAAGCCUUGCCUUUUAUUAAGAUGGGCCUUUAACCCUCUCUAUCUUAGGAGAGUCUAUCCUAAGUUGGGCCUCUAACUCAAUCCCACCCUUUACCCAGGUAAAAUAUACCCCACCACUUACCCAAAAUCAGCCAGUUGGUGCUGCAGUCUAUUUCCUCUGGAUCAGGGGGUCUCCUCAGUAGAGUCCCUUUGUGGUUCACCAGGAAGAUGUUAGUGGAAAGGGGUCCCAAUCCAGACCCCAAAAGAGGGUUCUUGGAUCUCACACAAGAAAGAAUUCAGGGCGAGUCCACAGAGUAAAGUGAAAGUUUAUUGAGAAAAUAAAGGGAUAAAGAAUGGCUACUCCAUUGGCACAGCAGCCAGAAGCAAGAAGUUCUGAACUGCCUAUCAGAUAUUACCAUUUUAUAAAUGAGAACCAGUCCAUAAUUUUGGAACAUGUUUCCUAUAUAAUAACCCUUUCUUAGUUGGAAAUGACCCAGACAUUCAACAAGCAUCUACAAUGAUUUUAAGAACUUAAAUCAUACAAAAAAGUUUUACUUAGAAGCAUUUAUCUCAUUUAUAUGCAUAUAAUUCUCCCAUUUUUAACCGUUUACUUAGAUUACUUCUGAAAACUGAGAUCUUACCACAGAGGUAGUCAUUAUUGAAAGUUAAUUCCCUGUUAACCAUUUUAAAGCUUGUGAACAUCAUGUGUUCAUCUAAGUAAGAACCUUAAAGUUAAAACACAUAGGCAUUUUGUUGAUAACUCAGAAGGUUUAGCUAUUUUCCUCAAACAAUAUUAAAUGUCUUAUCAAAAAUUACACAAAGAUCAUUCUGUCUUGGGCUGGGUUUAUAGUUUUGUAACUCUUAUGCCAAAUUUUGGCACCUAAUGAUAUCUGGCAGAGAUAAAUAUGAAA
rnacentral:lncRNA from 10 species